UACGUAGGGUGCGAGCGUUGCCCGGAUUUAUUGGGCGUAAAGGGCGCGUAGGCGGCUCUGCACGUCCGUUGUGAAAUCGCCCGGCUCAACUGGGCGGGGUCAGCGGAUACGGCGGAGCUUGAGCAAGCUAGGGGGCAAUGGAAUUCCCGGUGUAGCGGUGAAAUGCGCAGAUAUCAGGAAGAACACCCGUGGCUAAGGCGGCUCUCUAGUACGGUACUGACGCGGAGACGCGAAAGCGUGGGGAGCGAACAGG
rnacentral:rRNA from 1 species